rnacentral:rRNA from 1 species
UACGUAGGGUGCGAGCGUUGUCCGGAAUUAUUGGGCGUAAAGGGCUCGUAGGCGGUUUGUCGCGUCGGGUGUGAAAACCCAGGGCUUAACCCUGGGCUGGCUUCCGAUACGGGCAGACUAGAGGUAUGCAGGGGAGAACGGAAUUCCUGGUGUAGCGGUGAAAUGCGCAGAUAUCAGGAGGAACACCGGUGGCGAAGGCGGGUCUCUGGGCCGAUACUGACGCUGAGGAGCGAAAGCGUGGGGAGCGAACAGG